ACCCUCCGCUCUUUCUGCUCUGCGGGCCGGAUAGAACAGCCGAACGGGCCAUAUCCGGCCUGUGGGCCGUAGUUUGCCCACGGCUGUAUAAUCUCUAUAAACUGAGCUUUCAAAAGCCCAAAGGAUAGAAUAAGAAAGGAGGUCUGCAAGGUUCACUAAGGGGAGACAUCCAGGUACUAAUUGUAUAUCAAGUCAAAAGCAACAUAACUUGUGGGGUGAUAAGCAAUAAUUCCUUUUAGUUGCACGAGGUUUUGACAAGUAUUAUUUUACGUAACUCUUCCAGCCAUGCUGUGUAGAACACAGGAAACAAAGAAAUGCACUUUCCACAGUCACAGCAGGAUGAAAAAUAAGGUUUUUAAAAAAUGUGUAGAGCUGGUAGAUUGCUGGUAUUUCACUAUCUUGAGUAGUUUUUUCUUUAUGACAUCCUGUAGCAUUACUUACUCAUGGCAUCGACCACAGUCCAUGCAAUAAUUACCACCAAGACUCUGGCAAUGAAACAAACUAGCCGUAACUACUGCCUAGUGUGAACUUCAUUAAGUAUGUCCUUAUUUAUGGAUAAAAUUAUAUGAUGUCAGGCUACUAUAGGAAUAAGAAUAAUAUGAAGAUAGGGAGGAAGGAGUGAGUCGUCGUUUAAAUGAAACAACAUUGGCCAUGAGUUGGUAAUUCCUAAAGCUGGGAUUCAUUGUAUUAUUUUGUCAAAAUAUCCCAUCAUAAAGGCUAAAAAUGUCACCAAGCCCCAUAAUUUUAAACAAGUCCUUUCUCCAUGCAUUGCAGAGCAAACACUGUUCAUCGUAUGGUGCUUGGCUCAGUUUCCACCCAGGCUUACCCACUUGCGUUAGCGAUUAGGACAUGUGAAUGUCACUGCUGAGGCACUAAGAGUUUUUUCAGAAGUCAACACUGUUCAGGUAUUUGCUGGGAUUAGACCAUGCUGGAGAGUUGGCCCCAGAAGAGAACAUGACCAGCUGGCAAAUCCUGACCCUUGGCCACAGGGUUAAAAAUAGUGACCUAUGUAUAUUUAUGAUGUCAAAUUAGAUUCGUAGUAGCUUCAAGUUAUAUAAAACAUUUGCUUCAGACACACUGGCCUCAGAAUUCUACAGAUAGACGUUUGAAUCCCCUACUCUGAGUAAUUGAGCCAUGUGACUUUAACGAAGGCACUUAAACAUUGAUAAGGUGAGGGUAAUAAUAUAACCCAAUAUGGGGGUAUUCUGGUGGUCAGAUGAAAUAAAAAUGUAUGAAAUGCCUCACAGAGCUCCCGGCACAGUAAUGCCCUCAACAAAAUGGUAAUUGUCAUGAAUACUAACAAGACUAUGUCCAACUGAACCCACCACGGGCGAGUUUAAGAUCACCACCAGUCUGAGCUGUGUUCUGGGAGGGCUGUCCAUCGUAGAACUCUCUCCUGUCACGAGGUGACUUGGGAAGCCUGAUGGGAAGGUUUGGCUUUGGAGGUAAGGGACCUGCCUUCGCUGAGCCCCGUGUUGCCAGGAACCCUUUAUGUUCCUCCUCUGCUAUGGAGGCAGCUGAGCUGGCUGGUAUAAGAGGCACAAAUCCUUUAAGAUUCUGGUUGUAGACUUCCUAACCGCAGAUUUCAAGGAGCUAAGCUUUUCCCCAGUAUAUGCAAAGCAAUGGUUAUGUGCAUUUUUCUUAGAGAUAAAAGAUGAUUCCUGGCUUUUGUCAAAUUCUCAUAAGUCUUUAUUAAUCUAAAUUGAAGGUUAGGAACCUCUGCUCUUAAUCUGGGUUCAGAAUGUGGACUUGAGAAAUCAAAUGGAAAGAAUAUUUUGAAAUUCCCAACCUGGAGGUAAUUUUUUUUUAAACACAUGUCUCCGUUGUCACUCAUUUGGCAGAGUGAACUUCAUUGUGCAAAUUCUGACAAACUCAGAGGCCUCUCCUGGUUACAUACUAAUUAGUCAGAAAGCAAGAAUCUCAAACGCAUUUUGCUUUGAAAAUACUAACUUUUUAUAAACAAAUCAGAAAAUUGAUUUCUCAAAAGUGUUUAACAGGUAUGAAUUGUGAUUUCCGAGACACAGUUUUGCCAAAGUACUCAAAAUGUCAAGAAACAGUGGUUCUUGGUAUAUGGAAGUGUUUAUCUGUUUCUGCUUUUCCAGUUGCUACUAAAUGGUAUCUAGAAACUACUGGAGGCUGUUACCUUAUCCGUUUAAUUAUAAUUUCAGGAUGUGCAGGACAGGUGUGGGCUUGCAGUAUCCCAGGGCCAAGUUUCCAGCAGGAGAGAUGGAAAGGUAAUAUUAGCUGCUUUAGGUUAGCCCUGUGGGGAAAUUUUUUUUCCUUUGGUAAAUUUUCAUUAAAUAAAUGGCAACAUAACAAAACCUAAAAGAUCCAUUACAGUGUCUUAUUGAAGGUCUCCUGUAGGGGAAACAAUUGGGAAUUCUUUCAGAUAUGAGAACAUUUGAAGUGAGGUUAGGAACUGUUGAGGUGAGAGCAUGUAUGGCCCCUGCUGAAAGGCUGUGGAGCACAGGAGGGAACAGAAGAGGUAGGACAAUGUGGGAAGACUGCUGGCCUGGUCUAGGGCAGCCGCGAUGAAGGGCCAAAGCCCUGUGAGCUGGAGUGAGAUCACCGCCUGUGAGCAUGUGAAGAGCAAAGGCGUGGCCAUGCAGCUGGUUGGCUGUGCUCUGUAGAGGUUUUGUCAAAUUGAGUAGCAGUGUCUACAAGCAGAUUGUAGUGAAACCCUGGACUUGGGAAAACUAACAUGUGUCUGUCCUUCUCCACACACAGAAACCUUCACAGAUCUACUCGUGAUUUUACUGCAAAGUCCUUCCUCUCGUCUUACUCAACAGCAACAAAAGAAAUAGGUCUUGCUUUAAACUACUUGGUUAUAUUUAUCAUUGAAAGCAUGUAUGUUUAGAGCUCAUCUGUUACCACCGUGGCUGGCAAGGCAGAGGUGCUGGAGUGGCAUCCACCAAAGCCAAGAGUCUGGCUUCCAGAGUACUCGCUUCCAGAAGGUGAACAAACGCUGGGGGCCGAACUGCGGAUUUGGCUGGCAGCUGGGAAUACAGUGCGUCCUUCCACGCCUUCUGUUCCAAAAGCAUUUUUACAUAAGCUGACUUCCACCAGGGGCUAAAAAGAGAUCCCCGCAGAACUGAAAGAAUAUUGUUAUUCCUUCCAUAUGGCACGGAUACUGUUAUUCUAAUAUUACCCCAGUCUGAAAGCCCCAGCAGACAUUUUCAUUGUAAUCAGAUGCAAUAAAACAUGGAAAUGAGUGUCUUCCA